AUGACCUGUACUUCUCUGCUCUCUCCCCUACUGCAAAGAGGCAGUGAGGGCAGCAUUAGUAAGCCUGACUCAGGGGAAGAUGAACACCACAGACGGGGUAAAUGAUUUGCCUAAAGUCACACAGCUCGUAAGGGCCAGAGCCCACACUUUCAUCCACUAGCCUAUAUUCUGUGCUGUCAUCACUGAUAGCAGUGACUGAGACUGAGAGACAAAGUCACUUAAGAGCUGAUGGCUGCUACUAAAAAAUUUAAAUGUGUGGCUCACGUUACAUUUCAACUGAACACUGCUAUGCUGGUUCCAGCACAAAAGACAGCCACGUGUCCCUGGAAUGCAGAGUGUGCACACAAUCCCUGUGGAACCAACACAGGACACAAAGGUUUUCUUCUCCUCUGCUGUCCAGAGCCUGUGAGAGCUCCAGCUGCAGACUAUCAGGAUGGGGUAAAGGCCGCUGUGCGCAGGCACACUCACGUUUACUACCACCACCAAGCGAACACCUGCUGAGGCUCUGAUCUGCUGUUAACACCAUGUGGGGGAGGGAAGUGUCCAGGAGGGGGCAGUGAACCCAAAGGAAGGCUGCAGAGAAGCCAACUAUAAUAAGCUAAUAAGCUAUCACAGAAUCAAGACACCUGCACAUGGAACAGUCAAAUGAUUCCUGCAGGCAAAGUUCCU
rnacentral:lncRNA from 10 species